GGAGGGUCAAGGGCGGGGGGAGGGGCGGGCUUCCAGGCCUGGCCGGCGCCCAGCAACGUGGCCCAGCGGCUGGGGUCUUUUCAUGAAGUACCUGAGAGAUGGGGCGCCUGGCUGGCUCAGUCGGAAAAGCAUGUGACCCUUGAUCUCUGGGCUGAUAGGGAAUCCAAGAUCCGGAGGGGUGAAGCCACUUGUCUAGACUAUCCAGCCGUGAGAGCGAGAGCCAGGAUUUAAAUCGAGGCUGGAGGCCGCCGUCAUGCCUGUCUGGGCCUCAGUCUUCUCAUCUUGCCAAGGGGCUGACAACCCUACCUCCCACGACCAUGAUUGCUGGGCCGCCUGGAUUAUUCCCUGCAACCAUCAUGUGACAUAUUAAUAUGUUGCUUGUGCGGGACCUGGGUGGAGGGGCCACAGACCCCUGCUUUGGGGUAGGGUCGGGGGAGGACUUGAGAAAACUGAUAUCUGGAAGUCGUGGAGGAUUACUACCUGGGAAGGGGGGGGGAGAAAAGAGGGAGAACACUGUUCCAGACAGACAGAACAGCAUGUGCAAAAGGCCUCUAGGCAAGGAACAGCAAGAUGGUUCCAGCCUGCUGGAGUCAUUGGAGGGGUGGGCAGCAGGACCAGCUGCCAUGGAGGCCCCCCAAAUCUUUUUUAUGAUUUUUUUAAAAAUUGUGAAAUGUAACACACAAAAGAGGGCACAGAUUGUAAGUGAACGAUUUGAUGAUUACAGAGUGAACACACUCAUGUCAUCAGCCCCCAAGUUAAGAAAUGGAACAUGAGCCCCCUCUGCCCCUCCCCCGCCCUCUCGCAAGGGUGACCCCAUGACACCUGACACUGUAGGUCACUUGGGCUUGAUUUUGUUCCUUAUAUAAAUGGAAUCACUCUGUAUUUACGCUUUUGUCCCCAGCUGCUUUUGUUCAGCGUGCCAUGAGCGAGAUGCGGGGUGUUGAGUAGAGCGGUGGCUCGUACUUUUUUUUCGUGGCUCUGUCGUGUUUCCCAGGCAUGAUGAUGUCACAGCUCAGCCAUUCGGUCGAUGGGCAGCGGGUAGCUUCCGGUUGGGGGAAGUGGGGAGGAAGGACAGCAACUCUGGACACCCUUGUCCGUGCCUUUGUGGAGGUUGGGUGCGGCACGGCUCUGGGGGUGGGGACCCAGGAGGGGACUUGCUGGGUGCCAGAUUGCCUUCCAGGUGGGUGCGACACUUGGCAUUGCAACAGUUUUCGCUCCCCAAGUGUCCUGGGUGAGUUUGGGUUUUCAGCACAAGGAUAAAAUGCUAGGCAGGGAGCGACCCCCAUCACAUGGGCGUUUCGAGAGGUGCUAUCAUGGGGGGAGGGCCGGGACCCAGGGGGAGGCUGGUGGGACCACCCAAUCAUGCUCCCCCCUCCUCUCCUCU